AGUGAACGCUGGCGGUAGGCCUAACACAUGCAAGUCGAACGGCAGCACAGUAAGAGCUUGCUCUUACGGGUGGCGAGUGGCGGACGGGUGAGGAAUACAUCGGAAUCUACUUUUUCGUGGGGGAUAACGUAGGGAAACUUACGCUAAUACCGCAUACGACCUACGGGUGAAAGCAGGGGAUCUUCGGACCUUGCGCGAUUGAAUGAGCCGAUGUCGGAUUAGCUAGUUGGCGGGGUAAAGGCCCACCAAGGCGACGAUCCGUAGCUGGUCUGAGAGGAUGGUCAGCCACACGGGAACGGAGACACGGUCCAGACUCCUACGGGAGGCAGCAGUGGGGAAUAUUGGACAAUGGGCGCAAGCCUGAUCCAGCCAUACCGCGUGGGUGAAGAAGGCCUUCGGGGUGUAAAGCCCUUUUGUUGGGAAAGAAAAGCAGCAGGUUAAUACCCCGCUGUUCUGACGGUACCCAAAGAAUAAGCACCGGCUAACUUCGUG
rnacentral:rRNA from 1 species